CUGGGGUAAAUUGGUCAUUUCCUUUUAUACUCAAUUUUCUUCCUUUUCUUUUUAAUAAAUAUAAAUAAAUCUUAAAAUAAAAAAAUAAAAAAAGAAGAAUAAGUUUCUUCUUCCCGUCACCAUCAUCCCCAACCAAGCUCAGCCAAGAGUUCACCCCUUCCGCCGCCGCCGCCGAUUUUCUGCCGGAGAACAUCAUCUUCUGCGGCAAACUCAUCCCCUAAAAACAACCUCAUAAUAAUAACAGCAGCAAUAAUCAACCGAUGAUCCAAAAGGCCAACAACAACAGCAAUUCACCAGAUCUGUUAAUAAUUGAGAGCAAGCAAAAUCGAAUCGAGAUGUGGAAGAAUUCGAGUACAAGUAAUGGAGCCAGAGGUACAACCCUAAUGCAGUCGCCGCCGCCGAAGAAAACGUACAACACCAACAAGCAGCUCAAUUUGUCCUUAUUCACAUCCUCGUCGUCUUCGGGGAAAACUAAGUGGUACUUUCUCUUUUUCGGUUCUCCGAGGUUUUCGACGGAGGUGGAUCUGAGAGAUUUCAAGAGC
rnacentral:lncRNA from 1 species